rnacentral:rRNA from 1 species
UACGUAGGUGGCAAGCGUUGUCCGGAUUUACUGGGCGUAAAGAGCGCGCAGGCGGUCGUUCAAGUCGCGUGUGAAAGCCCCCGGCUCAACUGGGGAGGGUCACGCGAUACUGAUCGACUGGAAGGCAGGAGAGGGUAGUGGAAUUCCCGGUGUAGUGGUGAAAUGCGUAGAUAUCAGGAAGAACACCGGUGGCGAAGGCGGCUCUCUGGGCCUUACCUGACGCUGAGGAGCGAAAGCGUGGGUAGCGAACAGG